rnacentral:rRNA from 1 species
GUUGGGUAGGGGAGCGUUCUGUAAGCCUGUGAAGGUGUGUCGUGAGGCAUGCUGGAGGUAUCAGAAGUGCGAAUGCUGACAUAAGUAACGAUAAAGCGGGUGAAAAGCCCGCUCGCCGGAAGACCAAGGGUUCCUGUCCAACGUUAAUCGGGGCAGGGUGAGUCGACCCCUAAGGCGAGGCCGAAAGGCGUAGUCGAUGGGAAACAGGUUAAUAUUCCUGUACUUGGUGUUACUGCGAAGGGGGGACGGAGAAGGCUAUGUUGGCCGGGCGACGGUUGUCCCGGUUUAAGCGUGUAGGUGUGUGUUCCAGGUAAAUCCGGUUCACUUUAACACUGAGGCGUGAUGACGAGGCACUACGGUGCUGAAGCAACAAAUGCCCUGCUUCCAGGAAAAGCCUCUAAGCAUCAGGUAACAUCAAAUCGUACCCCAAACCGACACAGGUGGUCAGGUAGAGAAUACCAAGGCGCUUGAGAGAACUCGGGUGAAGGAACUAGGCAAAAUGGUGCCGUAACUUCGGGAGAAGGCACGCUGACACGUAGGUGAAGUGAUUUACUCAUGGAGCUGAAGUCAGUCGAAGAUACCAGCUGGCUGCAACUGUUUAUUAAAAACACAGCACUGUGCAAACACGAAAGUGGACGUAUACGGUGUGACGCCUGCCCGGUGCCGGAAGGUUAAUUGAUGGGGUCAGCGCAAGCGAAGCUCCUGAUCGAAGCCCCGGUAAACGGCGGCCGUAACUAUAACGGUCCUAAGGUAGCGAAAUUCCUUGUCGGGUAAGUUCCGACCUGCACGAAUGGCGUAAUGAUGGCCAGGCUGUCUCCACCCGAGACUCAGUGAAAUUGAACUCGCUGUGAAGAUGCAGUGUACCCGCGGCAAGACGGAAAGACCCCGUGAACCUUUACUAUAGCUUGACACUGAACAUUGAGCCUUGAUGUGUAGGAUAGGUGGGAGGCUUUGAAGCGUGGACGCCAGUCUGCGUGGAGCCGACCUUGAAAUACCACCCUUUAAUGUUUGAUGUUCUAACGUGGACCCGUAAUCCGGGUUGCGGACAGUGUCUGGUGGGUAGUUUGACUGGGGCGGUCUCCUCCUAAAGAGUAACGGAGGAGCACGAAGGUUGGCUAAUCCUGGUCGGACAUCAGGAGGUUAGUGCAAUGGCAUAAGCCAGCUUGACUGCGAGCGUGACGGCGCGAGCAGGUGCGAAAGCAGGUCAUAGUGAUCCGGUGGUUCUGAAUGGAAGGGCCAUCGCUCAACGGAUAAAAGGUACUCCGGGGAUAACAGGCUGAUACCGCCCAAGAGUUCAUAUCGACGGCGGUGUUUGGCACCUCGAUGUCGGCUCAUCACAUCCUGGGGCUGAAGUAGGUCCCAAGGGUAUGGCUGUUCGCCAUUUAAAGUGGUACGCGAGCUGGGUUUAGAACGUCGUGAGACAGUUCGGUCCCUAUCUGCCGUGGGCGCUGGAGAACUGAGGGGGGCUGCUCCUAGUACGAGAGGACCGGAGUGGACGCAUCACUGGUGUUCGGGUUGUCAUGCCAAUGGCACUGCCCGGUAGCUAAAUGCGGAAGAGAUAAGUGCUGAAAGCAUCUAAGCACGAAACUUGCCCCGAGAUGAGUUCU